ensembl:snRNA
GUGUUGUAUGAAAGGACAGAAGGUUAGCACUCCCCUUAACAAGGAAGAGGCCCUUGGCCUUACAACAGGCAUAGUGAUAAGGCAUUGCCGCCUAUUUCGUGGCAUAUAACCACAGUU